rnacentral:misc_RNA from 1 species
AAAUCCUAUUCGGGAAUGAAAGCCUAUCCAAAGGUGAUCUGACUGAAGAGAUGGGACUCUAUAGAUGAGAAAUUGAAUGCUAGAGGUCACAGUGUGCUCGAAAGCUUCCAACUUGCAAUAGAUGGCAAUAUCUGAAGCUGGACCAUCAGGAAGCAAAUGUGGAUUCUCACGGAUUGCAAAAACAGGACAGACAGCCAGUCCCUUG